AAUAUUGCACAAUGGGCGAAAGCCUGAUGCAGCAACGCCGCGUGCACGAUGAAGGCCUUCGGGUCGUAAAGUGCUUUUCGGGGAGAUGAGAAAGGACAGUAUCCCCGGAAUAAGGAUCGGCUAACUACGUGCCAGCAGCCGCGGUAAAACGUAGGAUCCGAGCGUUAUCCGAAUUUACUGGGCGUAAAGCGCGUGUAGGCGGUUCGGUAAGUUGGAUGUGAAAUCUCCUGGCUCAACUGGGAGAGGUCGUUCAAUACUGUCGGACUAGAGGGUGGUAGAGGGAGGUGGAAUUCCCGGUGUAGUGGUGAAAUGCGUAGAUAUCGGGAGGAACACCAGUGGCGAAAGCGGCCUCCUAGACCGCUCCUGACGCUCAGACGCGAAAGCUAGGGGAGCGAACGGGAUUAGAAACCCCGGUAGUCCUAGCUGUAAACGAUGUGAACUUGGCGUUGGUGGGGUAAAAGCCAUCAGUGCCGAAGCUAACGCGAUAAGUUCACCGCCUGGGGACUACGGCCGCAAGGUUA
rnacentral:rRNA from 1 species